CCCAGUCAUCUUCAGCAUGGUCGUGCUUUGUUGUCGUGCAGCCAGACUAAGGAAGGCCUCAAAAGGAAACUCACCAUCUAUAUUCCAUGGCCUAUAUAAAGAGGGGCUUGCACAGAAAACUGCAUCAGUUAUCUUCGUGUGUAGCAGCAGUUUCAAACCAAAGAUCAACGCCGUAACUAUUCCAUAAGGGAUUAUUUUUUGAUAAUCAUGCCGAACAAAAAUGAACAACUUCGUGGAGAGGCUAUUAGGGCAGCCGUUUAUGGAAACCCAGCUCAGGGUGGAGCUAGAGCUUCCAUAGUGAAAGAUGCAGUGAAUCAGGCAAAAUCAGGAAACAAUUACGGAAAACAAUCAGAUGCAAAAAAAUAAGCCGGACAGAAUUUGAUCAAAUGAUAAAUUAAUAUUAUUGUGCCGAUUUUCUAUCUUAUCUGGAAUAAAGUAAUAUUGCAAGAUCA